AAAAAAAUGAUUAUUUUUUCCCUUUCGUAAUAUUUCUGAAAAAAACACCUUUCCUUCAGUUAUUGAAUACAUUUUAUAUAUUUUAUUCAUCAUGUGAUUAUUAUUUUUGUUGUUGUUUUCUUUUUUUCUAUCUGUUUCAUAAAACGUCAUCAUUACGUCAUAUAUUAUUUGACGUCAUUCGACGUCGUAAUUGAUUUGACGGCAUGAUAGCGCUAUCAAAUUUUAGAAUGAUCAAUUUUUAUUCUGUUAUUGAUAAAAUAAAAAAGAAUCAUAGUAUGAAACAGAAGGAAGAUAGAACCCAACCUCAACAAAUGAUCAUUAAGCAAUACAAACAAAACCCAAC
rnacentral:lncRNA from 1 species